GUGGGGAAUCUUGCGCAAUGGGCGAAAGCCUGACGCAGCCAUGCCGCGUGAAUGAUGAAGGUCUUAGGAUUGUAAAAUUCUUUCACCGGGGACGAUAAUGACGGUACCCGGAGAAGAAGCCCCGGCUAACUUCGUGCCAGCAGCCGCGGUAAUACGAAGGGGGCUAGCGUUGCUCGGAAUUACUGGGCGUAAAGGGCGCGUAGGCGGAUCGUUAAGUCAGGGGUGAAAUCCCGGGGCUCAACCUCGGAAUUGCCCUUGAUACUGGCGAUCUUGAGUAUGAGAGAGGUAUGUGGAACUCCGAGUGUAGAGGUGAAAUUCGUAGAUAUUCGGAAGAACACCAGUGGCGAAGGCGACAUACUGGCUCAUUACUGACGCUGAGGCGCGAAAGCGUGGGGAGCAAACAGGAUUAGAUACCCUGGUAGUCC
rnacentral:rRNA from 1 species